UACCGAGGGGGCAAGCGUUGUUCGGAAUUACUGGGCGUAAAGGGCGCGUAGGCGGCCUUCUAAGUCGAACGUGAAAUCCCCGGGCUCAACCCGGGAACUGCGUCCGAUACUGGAAGGCUUGAAUCCGGGAGAGGGAUGCGGAAUUCCAGGUGUAGCGGUGAAAUGCGUAGAUAUUGGGAGGAACACCAGUGGCGAAGGCGGCUCACUGGACCGGAACUGACGCUGAGGCGCGAAAGCGUGGGGAGCAAACAGG
rnacentral:rRNA from 1 species